CCCGACCCGAAAACCCAAAAAAACCCACAUACCCGGAUCCAUCAAAAUCAGAUCGAAUCGGAUCAAUCCGAAGCCUUCAUCUUCUCCACCCGCUUAUUCAGCUGUUCAACUUUCACAACAAGGCCAGUAACAGAGUAUAAUAACCAAUAGAACACCAGCGCACAGGCGAUUAGAAGCGCAUUACGCUGCGAUUUCAUGAUUGAUUUCUGAUGACGAAGGUACUCCGAUGGAGAACACGAUUCGGAUUCACAAGUGGGUCGGGUCUCGUAUUUCCAGUAGAUAUCCAUUAAGAGAAAGAGGCAAAAGGGAACAAUGGAGAGAAAUGGCUUGAGGAGAUUCCGGGUCACGGAAAUUAGCCCUUUUCGAAGCGGGUUAAGACCCGGAACCGUUAAUAGAAGCAGCAUGAUGGCUUCGGCUCCGGCGGCGUAGCCGAGAACAACCCAUUCCAACGCCAUUGAUGAUUGAUCGAAGAAUUGAAGGUAAUUUUCUUUUUUUUUUUUCAGAGAAG
rnacentral:misc_RNA from 1 species